rnacentral:ncRNA from 1 species
CUCGAUAAAGGCAAACCGGGAGCGAUCCUGGGACGCAAAGCCACGGAACCCCAAGCUGCCACGGCUGGGGUUGGCCGGGUUGCCGAAA